UACGGAGGGUGCAAGCGUUGCUCGGAAUCACUGGGCGUAAAGCGACCGCAGGCGGUCUGACAAGUCGGAUGUGAAAGCCCUGGGCUCAACUCAGGAACAGCAUUCGAAACUGGCAGACUUGAGUACGGGAGAGGGGGGUGGAAUUCCUGGUGUAGCGGUGAAAUGCGUAGAUAUCAGGAGGAAUACCGGUGGCGAAAGCGACUCUCUGGACGGCAACUGACGCUGAGGCACGAAAGCGUGGGGAGCAAACAGG
rnacentral:rRNA from 1 species